AUGAUUGAUUGGCUCUUCUUCUCCGAGGAUUUAGUUGGAUUAUUAAGUGUGUUCCGUGAAAGGGAUUUGGGCUUCGGCCUCACUGGUCCCGUGAGGCAAGAAAAUGACGGCGAGAGGUUUGAUUGGUUGGUGAGGGAAAGGAAUGCCGCCGCUUCUCGAUCCCCAAUUAUCAGCGUUCCGUCUGGAACUUACUGCUCACCAUUCGGGGGGCUUGGUGGUGAUUUAUCCACCAGGUGCUCGGCCUUGGCUCAACUCCUACCUCUCAGUCUGGUGGGUUUGGGGUCACAUCUUGGAUUUGUCUGCUGGCUCGUCGAUGGUCACGAAGAUCCACUGAACAGAUAUUUCUCUGUCGAAUAG
rnacentral:rRNA from 1 species